rnacentral:lncRNA from 10 species
UUUUUUUGAGACGGAGUCUCGCUCUGUCACCCAGGCUGGAGUACAGUGGCAAGAUCAUGACUCGGUGCAGCCUUGAAUUCCUGGGCUCCAGUGAUUCUUCCACUUUAGUCUCUCGAGUAGCUGGCACUACAGGUGCAUGCCACCACACCCAGCUAAUUUAUUUUAAAAAUUUUGUGUAGAUAUGGGGUUUCCCUAUGUUGCCCAGGCUAUCUUGAACUCCUGGGUUCAAGUGAUCCUCCCAGCUCUGUCUCCCAAAGUUCUGGGAUUACAGGCAUGAGCUAUUGUGCACAAGCUAAGAAUAUGUGCUUUUAAAUCCCAUAAGGAAAAAAAUAUUUUUGGUAAAUAAAAUUAAAGCAUAAAUAUCAUGAUUUACCUGACGUUUACCGUAAGCAACAUAAAAGAUAUGUGAUACUGAAUGACUAAAAAGUAGUUUUGGUUAAAGAGAGUUCUAGUUUCCAUGAGGACUCUGACAAUGCUGCAUUUUAUUUUGCUUUUUAAUGUGCACAUUGGUACAUGUUUAACUACUCUACUCCUGUUCAAAAUGUACUUCUCUGUUCUGCAAUGAAUGCUUUUUAAGGGUGCGAGCCCCAGGGCGUGAAAUGAAUGUGGUAGAACUGGCCUCUACAUUUCUUUUGGGUGUGUCUCCUCCUGCAAGGCCUGGCCAGCUGCGAUGGGCAGAGGACACUGCCUCGCUCUCCAAGUACCUCAAUAAGUCAUUGACCUACUUGUGCCUCAUGUCUCUCAUUUGCAAAAUGAGGGUCCUACCUGAUUAACUCAAAGAUUCCCCUUCUAGAGCUUAAAACAUUGAACAAAAUGCAGUUAAACAAGAAAGGGCUAUGUUUGUUGGUUUUGUUUUUGUCUUUUUUGGUGUAGUUGGUUGGUUUUGUGUAUAAUGGAAUGGAAUCAUAUCAUUUGCUGGUU